UUCCCACAGCUUUAUUGAACUGCCCUCUUGCUUGCUUGGAUCAAUUGAAACUCGAUCAGGUCCACAGCACAGCCUGCUGCAUGCAUGAUGCAGUUCAAGAAAGCUGUGGAAGAU